rnacentral:rRNA from 1 species
AGCAGCCGCGGUAAUUCCAGCUCCAAUAGCGUAUAUUAAAGUUGUUGCAGUUAAAAAGCUCGUAGUUGAAUUUCGGGGUCAGUAGGUUGGUCAUGCCACUGGUAUGUACUGGUCUCACUGAUUCCUCCUUCCUGAUGAACUGUAAUGCCAUUAAUUUGGUGUUGCAGGGAAUCUGGACUGUUACUUUGAAAAAAUUGAGUGUUUAAAGCAGGCUAACGCCUGAAUACAUUAGCAUGGAAUAAUGAAAUAGGACGUUCGAUCCUAUUUUGUUGGUUCUAGGAUUGACGUUAAUGAUUAAUAGGGAUAGUUGGGGGCAUUAGUAUUCAAUUGUCAGAGGUGAAAUUCUUGGAUUUAUUGAAGACUAACUACUGCGAAAGCAUUUUGCCAAGGAUGUUUCUAUUAAUCAAGAACGAAAGUUAGGGAAUCGAAGACGAUCAGUAUACCGUGUAGUCUUAACAUAAACUAUNCCGACUAGGAUCGGAUGAUUGUUAAUUUUAUGACUNUA